rnacentral:misc_RNA from 1 species
GAUGAAGAACGCAGCGAAAUGCGAUAAGUAAUGUGAAUUGCAGAAUUCAGUGAAUCAUCGAAUCUUUGAACGCACAUUGCGCCCGGCAGCAAUCUGCCGGGCAUGCCUGUCCGAGCGUCAUUUCUUCCCUCGAGCGCGGCUAGCCCUACGGGGCCUGCCGUCGCCCGGUGUUGGGGCUCUACGGGUGGGGCUCGUCCCCCCCGCAGUCCCCGAAAUGUAGUGGCGGUCCAGCCGCGGCGCCCCCUGCGUAGUAGAUCCUACAUCUCGCAUCGGGUCCCGGCGAAGGCCAGCCGUCGAACCUUUUAUUUCAUGGUUUGACCUCGGAUCAGGUAGGGUUACCCGCUGAACUUAAGCAUAUCAAUAAACGGAGGA